CUGAUUAGAUUAAUUCAGAUGUAAAUUUAUGUUAUACGGUGAAUGUAUCGAGUCAUAUAUUAUGCAGAAUAUAUUGAGAAAAAUGGUAAACUAACUAAAAGUGCUAACAAAAUUUCUUAGGAAGUUAUCGAUAUACCUAAUUAUUAGAAGCUGUAACAAAUAUUCAAAGAGUCAGAGUAUACUUUAUUAGAAGUGUGUUAGAUAGAAUUAUACACUUUAAAGAAAAUAUCUUUUAUUAUUGCAGGAUUUAUGAAAUGAUUACAUAAAUAUACUAACAACAAAUUGCAAUGCAUCUG